AGAGUUUGAUCCUGGCUCAGGAUGAACGCUAGCUACAGGCUUAACACAUGCAAGUCGAGGGGAAACGAUAUUGGAAGCUUGCUUCCGAUAGGCGUCGACCGGCGCACGGGUGAGUAACACGUAUCCAACCUGCCGUCUACUCUUGGACAGCCUUCUGAAAGGAAGAUUAAUACAAGAUGGCAUCAUGAGUUCACAUGUUCACAUGAUUAAAGGUUUUCCGGUAGACGAUGGGGAUGCGUUCCAUUAGAUAGUAGGCGGGGUAACGGCCCACCUAGUCUUCGAUGGAUAGGGGUUCUGAGAGGAAGGUCCCCCACAUUGGAACUGAGACACGGUCCAAACUCCUACGGGAGGCAGCA
rnacentral:rRNA from 1 species